rnacentral:rRNA from 1 species
UACGAAGGGGGCUAGCGUUGUUCGGAAUUACUGGGCGUAAAGGGCUCGUAGGCGGUUUGUCGCGUCGGGAGUGAAAACGCCGUGCUUAACACGGCGCUUGCUUUCGAUACGGGCAGACUAGAGGUAUGCAGGGGAGAACGGAAUUCCUGGUGUAGCGGUGAAAUGCGCAGAUAUCAGGAGGAACACCGGUGGCGAAGGCGGUUCUCUGGGCAUGACCUGACGCUGAGGAGCGAAAGUGUGGGGAGCGAACAGG